CCUACGGGCGGCUGCAGUGAGGAAUAUUGGUCAAUGGGCGCAAGCCUGAACCAGCCACGUCGCGUGAAGGAAGACGGCCCUACGGGUUGUAAACUUCUUUUGUAAGGGAAUAAAGUGUAGUACGUGUACUAUUUUGCAUGUACCUUACGAAUAAGGAUCGGCUAACUCCGUGCCAGCAGCCGCGGUAAUACGGAGGAUCCGAGCGUUAUCCGGAUUUAUUGGGUUUAAAGGGUGCGCAGGCGGGAGAUUAAGUCGGCGGUGAAAUUUUGCAGCUUAACUGUAAAAGUGCCUUCGAAACUGGUUUCCUUGAGUGUAGAUGAAGUAGGCGGAAUUUGUGGUGUAGCGGUGAAAUGCAUAGAUAUCACGAGGAACUCCGAUUGCGCAGGCAGCUUACUAAACUACUACUGACGCUCAGGCACGAAGGCGUGGGGAUCAAACAGGAUUAGAUACCCCAGUAGUC
rnacentral:rRNA from 1 species